UAGGGAAUCUUCGGCAAUGGGGGCAACCCUGACCGAGCAACGCCGCGUGAGUGAAGAAGGUUUUCGGAUCGUAAAGCUCUGUUGUAAGUCAAGAACGGGUGUGAGAGUGGAAAGUUCACACUGUGACGGUAGCUUACCAGAAAGGGACGGCUAACUACGUGCCAGCAGCCGCGGUAAUACGUAGGUCCCGAGCGUUGUCCGGAUUUACUGGGCGUAAAGCGAGCGCAGGCGGUUUGAUAAGUCUGAAGUUAAAGGCUGUGGCUCAACCAUAGUUCGCUUUGGAAACUGUCAAACUUGAGUGCAGAAGGGGAGAGUGGAAUUCCAUGUGUAGCGGUGAAAUGCGUAGAUAUAUGGAGGAACACCGGUGGCGAAAGCGGCUCUCUGGUCUGUAACUGACGCUGAGGCUCGAAAGCGUGGGGAGCGAACAGGAUUAGAUACCCUGGUAGUCCACGCCGUAAACGAUGAGUGCUAGGUGUUGGAUCCUUUCCGGGAUUCAGUGCCGCAGCUAACGCAUUAAGCACUCCGCCUGGGGAGUACGACCGCAAGGUUGAAAC
rnacentral:rRNA from 1 species